UGCUGCCUUGCGUGCCAUGCGUGAGAGACUCGCCAUGCACCCUAGAAAUUUCCUAGAAAAAUUGUAUUUUCCUCUGCCGUUCCCGGCUCCGCGGUGAUAGUGCCUCCAUGGUCAGUUGAGUCAUCAGAACAGUCCUUCGACGCCGAAGCACCCCGCCGUCAAACAUCUUCGCGCGGACCGUUCUGUCUGUUCUUCGUCCAAGCUGCACUCGCCGAAUAACAUCCUUCUCGUCGCGCUCAGAAGCCGUCACCUGACCAACAAGUGGUCACGGUAAGUUCAUAGCACGCGAGACGGGUGUGGAUGUCGAAUACUGUCACGGUUAACAUGUGGCUAACUAGAGAAUUCAAGUCCACGAAAAAUGAUGAAGAUUUGAUUCUCUAAUAAAUUGUCUAUGGCAGUGCGAUCAGGUGUUCGAGCAGUAGAUGAAUGUAUCUUAUUUUAAAUUGUGUCAGACCCAGUUUAUACUAGUAUAACCGAUAUCGUAUUUGUUCGGUCCAUGUGUUUCUUGCCUAGCUCAAAAUCUUCGAAUAAAAGUAACUGUUUGGGUU